UGGGAAUUUUGGACAAUGGGCGCAAGCCUGAUCCAGCAAUGCCGCGUGCAGGAUGAAGGCCUUCGGGUUGUAAACUGCUUUUGUACGGAACGAAAAGGCUCUGGUUAAUACCUGGGGCUCAUGACGGUACCGUAAGAAUAAGCACCGGCUAACUACGUGCCAGCAGCCGCGGUAAUACGUAGGGUGCAAGCAUUAAUCGGAAUUACUGGGCGUAAAGCGUGCGCAGGCGGUUAUGUAAGACAGAUGUGAAAUCCCCGGGCUCAACCUGGGACCUGCAUUUGUGACUGCAUAGCUAGAGUACGGCAGAGGGGGAUGGAAUUCCGCGUGUAGCAGUGAAAUGCGUAGAUAUGCGGAGGAACACCGAUGGCGAAGGCAAUCCCCUGGGCCUGCACUGACGCUCAUGCACGAAAGCGUGGGGAGCAAACA
rnacentral:rRNA from 1 species